rnacentral:rRNA from 1 species
UACAGAGGGUGCGAGCGUUAAUCGGAAUUACUGGGCGUAAAGCGUGCGUAGACGGUUAUUUAAGUCGGAUGUGAAAGCCCCGGGCUCAACCCGGGAAGUGCACUCGAUACUGUCGAGCUAGAGUAUCGGAGAGGUUGGUGGAAUUCUCGGUGUAGAGGUGAAAUUCGUAGAUAUCGAGAGGAACACCGGUGGCGAAGGCGGCCAACUGGACGAAUACUGACGCUGAGACUCGAACGAGCGCUCGGG